rnacentral:rRNA from 1 species
CCUACGGGUGGCAGCAGUGGGGAAUAUUGCACAAUGGGGGAAACCCUGAUGCAGCGACGCCGCGUGAGUGAAGAAGUAUUUCGGUAUGUAAAGCUCUAUCAGCAGGGAAGAAAAUGACGGUACCUGAUGAAGAAGUCUCGGCUAACUACGUGCCAGCAGCCGCGGUAAUAAGUAGGGGGCAAGCGUUAUCCGGAUUUACUGGGUGUAAAGGGAGCGUAGACGGCAGCACAAGUCUGGAGUGAAAUGCCGGGGCUUAACCCCGGAACUGCUUUUGAAACUGUGCAGCUAGAGUGCAGGAGAGGUGAGUGGAAUUCCUAGUGUAGCGGUGAAAUGCGUAGAUAUUAGGAGGAACACCAGUGGCGAAGGCGGCUUACUGGACCGUAACUGACGUUGAGGCUCGAAAGCGUGGGGAGCAAACAGGAUUAGAUACCCGUGUAGUC